GGCUGGUCUGAAUGCAGUGGUAUUUACUACUAAUUGAUCACAACCAGUUACAGAUUUCUGUUUCUUCUCCACUCCCACUGCUUCACUUGACUAGCCUUUA
rnacentral:Y_RNA from 1 species